rnacentral:rRNA from 1 species
UGGGGAAUCUUGGACAAUGGGCGCAAGCCUGAUCCAGCCAUGCCGCGUGAGUGAAGAAGGCCUUAGGGUUGUAAAACUCUUUCGCCGGAGAAGAUAAUGACGGUAUCCGGAGAAGAAGCCCCGGCUAACUUCGUGCCAGCAGCCGCGGUAAUACGAAGGGGGCUAGCGUUGUUCGGAAUUACUGGGCGUAAAGCGCACGUAGGCGGGUUUGUAAGUAGAGGGUGAAAUCCCAGGGCUCAACCCUGGAACUGCCUUCUAGACUGCAAGCCUGGAGGUCAGGAGAGGCGAGUGGAAUACCGAGUGUAGAGGUGAAAUUCGUAGAUAUUCGCAGGAACACCAGUGGCGAAGGCGACUUGCUGGACUUAUGGUGACGCUGAGACGCGAAAGCGUGGGGAGCAAACAGGAUUAGAUACCCAAGUAGUCCCUGAGCGGGCUGGCAAGGCGCAU